UACGUAGGGGGCAAGCGUUGUCCGGAAUCAUUGGGCGUAAAGAGCGCGUAGGCGGCCCGAUAAGUCCGCUGUGAAAGUCAAGGGCUCAACCCUUGAAUGCCGGUGGAUACUGUCGGGCUAGAGUCCGGAAGAGGCGAGUGGAAUUCCUGGUGUAGCGGUGAAAUGCGCAGAUAUCAGGAAGAACACCUAUGGCGAAGGCAGCUCGCUGGGACGGUACUGACGCUGAGGCGCGAAAGCGUGGGGAGCAAACAGG
rnacentral:rRNA from 1 species